rnacentral:lncRNA from 1 species
UGCAAGCAACGGAGAAGGGAACAGUAGAAAAGAGUAUUGUUUCAUGGGUUUUACAACUUCAAGACCUUUGUUCCCUUUCCGUUUGUGUCAUGCAAAGUUAUUACUCAUGUGAAGGUUUUUUUCAACAUCUUGUGGCUUUUUCUUCCUUUGUAAUGCAUGUUGGACAGUAUUUGCAAUUUGAUAUUUGUAAAGAUUUGCUUAGUGUUUUUUCCCGAGUAAAGAUGUUACAAUAAUCUCAUUUCUUUUUCUUGUACAACUUCAUGAAUAUCAAAUUGCAAACAGUGUCCAUGAAGUUGAAUAUAAUAUUUAGGUUGAAUUAAAGAUGGGAUUAUUCAAUCAUUCCAAAUUUAAUAUAAUAUGUAGGUUAAGGAUGUUACACUGUCCAUUGAUAUCCUUUACUCAUGUUAAGAAUUGUGAUUUUGUUUAAUCAUUCCAAAUUUAAUAUAUGAAGGUUGAAUAUUUUAACGGUUUGAUAAACAGAAUUGGAGUUUUGUACGAGUGAUCUAUAUUAAGAUCUAAUUGGUAAUUCACAUAGAAUAAUGGUAGUUUUAAACCAAAUGUGGCUUACUUGGAAGGCACUUCUUACGCUAUGUUUUCUGCAGUAAGUUGUGGAGAAUUGAGCAAUAUAAGUUUUAUGGAUUCAGCAACUUAAAGACUUUGUCCGUUUUAUGUUUGUGUUGUCUUAAAUUAUUGCUCAUGUGAAUUUUUUUGCAACAUCUUGCAGUCCCUUUCUUCCCAUCUGAUGCAUGUUGGUUAGAAUUUGCUUUUAAUGUUCCAUUCUUAUAUGUGAAAAUUUUCUACUUCUGAAUAGAUAUGUCGAAAUAACAUCUCAUUUUCAUUUUUCUGGACAACAUUGCUACUAGAUGAGAGCAUGAACUUGGAUUACAAAUAUCUCAUCUUUAGAUGUCCGAUAGAAUAUGUUGACGAGCUCUUUUAGCUUGAUUUACAUGUAAUGUUAUGUUGUUGCUAGAUGAGGCCCAGUAUGCAUGUGAUGUGACUGAGUUGAGCUGACAGUGGUGCUGCAGAAUGAUGCUGGCUUUGGAGCUUCAUGGCUUUAUCUCAGUUAAGACUUGGUAGGCAAGAUGGAGAUGCUAAUAAGAUCAAGUUUUGAGUUUGGAGUAGGAAUUUGUGAUGUGUAUUUGCACCUUGUCUGGUUGUCAUUUUGAUGGAUUCUCAAUUCAUUCCAAGCUUCUAAUUUGUGAGUACUGUUUUGGAUGAGAGAGCAAGAAGAGAUCCUGCUAGGUUUUUUUUGUUGUGUUGCACCACCAUACCUGACAGUAGGNNNNNNNNNNNNNNNNNNNNNNNNNNNNNNNNNNNNNNNNNNNNNNNNNNNNNNNNNNNNNNUUUGUUGUGUUGCACCACCAUACCUGACAGUGGAGCCUCAUGGCUUUAUCUCAGUUGGUAGGCAAGAUGGAGAUGCUAAUAAGAUCGAGUUUCGAGUUUGGAGUAGGAAUUUGUGAUGUGUAUUUACACCUUGUAUGGUUAUCAUUCUGAUGGAUUCUCAAUUCAUUCUAAGCUUCUAAUAUGAUGCAUUCAACAUCACUUCAUGGCCAUUGCAUGCUGGUUCUCUUGGUAAGGCCACUGCGAUUGAGUGCUAUUUUGGAAGAGAGAACAAGAAGAGAUCCAGCUAGGCUUUUUUGUUGUAUUGCACCACCAUACCUGACUGUAAGCAGGUUUCCCUCUCUUCUUAUUAAUGUCUUUGAUAAAUGAUGAUGUUUGAUAGAUGGCGACAAGAAAAGGCCAUGAGAUACAUCAUAUAUCAAUGACAUCCAACUUCUGGAACAGUGAUUUACAUGUAACACACCAAGAUUUGUAAUGGAGAUGUUCCA